rnacentral:rRNA from 1 species
AAUAUUGGACAAUGGGGGCAACCCUGAUCCAGCCAUGUCGCGUGUGUGAUGAAGUUGUUCUGAUUGUAAAGCACUUUAAGUUGUGAGGUAGGGCUUUAGGUUAAUAUUUUUUAGUUUUGUUGGUACCAACAGAGUAAGCACUGGCUAUCUGUGUGCUAGCAGCCUCGGUAAUACAGAGGGUGCAAGCGUUAAUCGGAAUUACUGGGCGUAAAGCGCGCGUAGGUGGUUCAGUAAGAUGGGUGUGAAAUCACCGGGCUUAACCUGGGAACUGCUUUCAUAACUGCUGAGCUAGAGUACGGUAGAGGGUAGUGGAAUUUCCUGUGUAGCGGUGAAAUGCGUAGAUAUAGGAAGGAACACCAGUGGCGAAGGCGACUACCUGGACUGAUACUGACACUGAGGUGCGAAAGCGUGGGGAGCAAAC